rnacentral:rRNA from 1 species
AGAGUUUGAUCAUGGCUCAGAACGAACGCUGGCGGCGUUAACACAUGCAAGUCGAACGCGAAAGGUUCUUUCGGGAACCGAGUAGAGCGGCGCACGGGUGAGUAACGCGUAAGUAACCUCCCCCUGUAUCUGGAAUAACCUACCGAAAGGUGAGCUAAUACCGGAUACGUUCAGGAUGAUGCGAAUCAAUCUGAAGAAAGGUGGCCUCUUCAUGAAAGCUACUGUACAGGGAUGAGCUUGCGUACCAUUAGCUAGUUGGCAGGGUAAUGGCCUACCAAGGCAACGAUGGUUAGCGGGUCUGAGAGGAUGAUCCGCCACACUGGAACUGAAACACGGACCAGACUCCUACGGGAGGCAGCAGUGAGGAAUAUUGCGCAAUGGGGGAAACCCUGACGCAGCGACGCCGCGUGGAUGAUGAAGGCCCUUGGGUCGUAAAAUCCUGUCAGAUGGAAAGAAAUGCAUAAUGGUUAAUAUCUGUUAUGUUUGACGGUACCAUCAAAGGAAGCACCGGCUAACUCCGUGCCAGCAGCCGCGGUAAUACGGAGGGUGCAAGCGUUGUUCGGAAUUACUGGGCGUAAAGCGCGCGUAGGCGGUUUGUCAAGUCAGAUGUGAAAGUCCAUGGCUCAACCGUGGAAGUGCAUUUGAAACUGGCAGACUUGAGUAUUGGAGGGGGUGGUGGAAUUCCCGGUGUAGAGGUGAAAUUCGUAGAUAUCGGGAGGAAUACCGGUGGCGAAGGCGACCACCUGGCCAGAUACUGACGCUGAGGUGCGAAAGCGUGGGGAGCAAACAGGAUUAGAUACCCUAGUAGUCC